rnacentral:rRNA from 1 species
UACGAAGGGGGCUAGCAUUGUUCGGAAUCACUGGGCGUAAAGCGCACGUAGGCGGAUUUUUAAGUCAGGGGUGAAAUCCCGAGGCUCAACCUCGGAACUGCCUUUGAUACUGGGGAUCUGGAGUCCGGGAGAGGUGAGCGGAACUGCGAGUGUAGAGGUGAAAUUCGUAGAUAUUCGCAAGAACACCAGUGGCGAAGGCGGCUCACUGGCCCGAUACUGACGCUGAGGCACGAAAGCGUGGGGAGCAAACAGG